rnacentral:lncRNA from 1 species
GUGUCGGGCCAGACUCAGCCCCAGAAACCAGCCACCCUGCCGCGUCCGACUGCCAGGGAUCCCUCACGCCGCGAGGUGGAGUCUCGCUCUGUCGCCCAGGCUGGAGUACAGUGGUGCGAUCUUGGCUCCCUGCAACUUCUGCCUCCCAGGUUCAAGCGAUUUUCCUGCCUCAGCUUCCUGAGUAGCUGGGACUACAGGAAGAGACACUAGAGAGACACUCAGCUGCAGUGAGAAUACACAGGCAUCUUCAAGUACCAGAGAUGUCUCCAAGAGCACCAGCAACCCCAGCUAUCUGGAUCUGAAGUGGAUAUGCUCAGAGACAUCCUGGCCCACCCCAAAGAAGAUGCUGCUGCACUCAGAAGACGCCAGAGCUAGCCACCACCCACACUGCAAGUCUGGAAGCUCUGCAAGGACCCAGCAAGGCAGCCUGCUCAGCGAAGGCUUUGUCUCCUGUGGCAGGAAGAGCAACAUUAAGAACAAGAACCCCGGGCUGGACUACCCCUGAGAUUUAAUGACCAGAGCUGAGACCCCCAAGACCACAAUGACUAUGGAGGGCUGUCAUUACCCUGCCUGACCCUCUAAUGCCUCUCAGUUCAAGGAGGCCACUGAGUGAAACUGAAGGCUGGUUUUCCUUGGAAGCCAGCGGCCCAUCCACCUGCUCCACUUCCCUGCCUCUUGCAGCCUCCGCUCAAACACUGUCGUGGCUUGGCAGCACUACAAGUAUUUCAGGGGCUGCCAAGCUGCUCUCCUGUUUCCUCUUCCUUGGGGCUGAUUGCAUCCCAUGAUGUGCCCAGGUUUUGAGAUGCUCCUCGUGAAUGAAAAUAGGACUGUCUGGUUCCUCCAUCCAUAGCAAGGGAGCCUAGACAGAAAUAACUUCUGUGCAUUUCUCCAGCUACAUUUAGGGAAAACUAGAAAAUACAGAAAUAUAUCAAGAAGAAAAAAAAUUUAAAAA